CUGUCUUUUGCCUUCCAGGAUCUCAACGCUAGAAACCUCCUGUCACACCUGACCAGGGCUGCCGGCUUUCAGGGCAUGGGCCCUGCACUUGGUCUUGACUGUUGUCCAGGGACCAGGGUUUGAGGCCCCUCGAAGCUUCAGUUCCUCGUCUGCAAAAGGACAGGAUGUGACAUCCUGGGAGUUUCCCGCCAGCAUCUCUUAGAGCCGUGAACAGGGGACUCCCCGUCUUCUCUGAGGCUCACUUUCCCUUCUCUCAAAAGGAGUAAGGAAGAUGGCAAAGUUCUGGAACAGGACCGACACGCAGGUGGAUGGAAUAGAAGAUUGAGCCCAAUUGACUUAUCCAGUCAUUUGAUUUUCACCAAAGGUGCCAAAGAAAUAGAGCCCCUGGGAACCCCGGCAUCAUUCCCGCCAUUUGUGGGCUGCUCCAAGGUAAGGACCCGGCUGUCGUGGUGGCCACAGCAUCUCUGUGCUCCGUCCAGAGUCUGGCUUGUUAAAUUCCCCAUGAGGGCGCAGCAACUCCACCACCACGAUGACCCCACAGAUGGGAAGGAGCGCGUGCUGGGUGACUCCUUUUAGGAAGUUCAAGAACAGUCAAAGCUAGUCGGGGAGGUGCUGGCCAGGUGGGGCUCCAGGGGGCUUCUAGGAGCUGGAAAUGUUCGGUGUCAGCCACAGACGUAACUUUAACUGUUCCAGCGGCCUCAUUGACACGGUAAAAAUAAACCAGUGAAAUCAAUUUUAAUAAUAUAUCUUAUUGAACCCAUGAGUAUGCCCCUAAUAUGAUCAUUUCAAUAUGUAAUCAAUAUAAAAGUUACUGAGAAAUUUUUAGGUUCUCCUUGCCCUCCAAACUAAGCCAUCUGGCCCACCUACACUCCGUCAAGCCGCACCUGGCCCGCUCCCACCACAGGCCCAUCCUGGGCUCCACAGGCUGACAUCUCGGCUGGACACAUCUCAACAGACACAUACUUGUACUCAAGGUAGGUGCACUUUGUGUUGGAAG